rnacentral:lncRNA from 1 species
GGCAACUGAUUGGGGUUUCUUUCUGUUGUAAGUGCUUACCAUAGAGUUUGUUGCUGUUUACUUUUUGGGUCUGCACUAUGUUUAUGAGCUGCAACACUCACGGCAAAGAUGUGCAGCUUCACUCCUGAAGCCACCAGGCCAUGAACCUCCCAGGAGAAACAAACAAUUGUCGACACGCUACUUUUAAGAGGUGUAACACUCACUCGGAAGGUCUGUGGCUUUACUCCUGAAAUCAGCGAGACCAUGAAACCACCAGAAGGAAGAAAUUUCAGACACAUCUGAACAUCUGAAGCAACAAACUCCGGACACACCAUCUUUAAGAACUGUAACACUCACCGCAAUGGUCUGAGGCUUCAUUGUUAAAGUCAGCGAGACCAAGAAUAUCGGAAGGAACCAAUUCCGGGCACGCUAUCAUCCAAAUAGUCCAUUACUUGAAUUUUAGCUGUAAAAUAGCAAAAAUUAUCACCCACUGGGGUGAGGGGAGGAUUUAUGUGGUGAGGAUUAAAGGGAUAUGGAGGCAAGGUUAGUCAGUAUAGCGUAAAUAAUGGUUGGUCUUUGGAAGCCAACUGAGUACCAAGUGUGGACAUUAAAGAUUGCUCCAGUGUUAGGUUUUCAUCAUCGUGGUCUGCCAUUGCAAAAUACCACAGACUUGGCGUGGCUUAAAGAAUAGAAAUUUAUCUUCUCACGGUUCUGGAGGCUUGAAGUCUGGGAUAAGAGUGCCAGUGUAGUCAACUAAUAUGAGCGCUCUCUUUCCAGGCUUGUGGACAGCCACCACCUUGCUGUAUCCUUUGGCAGAGAGAGGGAGUGGAGGAGAA